rnacentral:rRNA from 1 species
AGUGAACGCUGGCGGUAGGCCUAACACAUGCAAGUCGAACGGCAGCACAGUAAGAGCUUGCUCUUACGGGUGGCGAGUGGCGGACGGGUGAGGAAUACAUCGGAAUCUACUUUUUCGUGGGGGAUAACGUAGGGAAACUUACGCUAAUACCGCAUACGACCUACGGGUGAAAGCAGGGGAUCUUCGGACCUUGCGCGAUUGAAUGAGCCGAUGUCGGAUUAGCUAGUUGGCGGGGUAAAGGCCCACCAAGGCGACGAUCCGUAGCUGGUCUGAGAGGAUGAUCAGCCACACUGGAACUGAGACACGGUCCAGACUCCUACGGGAGGCAGCAGUGGGGAAUGUUGGACAAUGGGCGCAAGCCUGAUCCAGCCAUACCGCGUGGGUGAAGAAGGCCUUCGGGUCGUAAAGCCCUUUUGUUGGGAAAGAAAAGCAGCAGGUUAAUACCCCGCUGUUCUGACGGUACCCAAAGAAUAAGCACCGGCUAACUUCGUG